ACUUCAUACCCAUUUUUGGUCUUGUUUUCUCCCCCAGCCUUCAUGUAGCAGCAGCCAUCGUAUUAAGAGGGACCAUCAUCUUAUUAGACGGGAUUUUAGAGAUGGUUCUACCUCAUUGGAGGUUAUAGUUUUCGAUCGUGGUUUCUCUGUUUAAACCUGGACGAUUCCCGAUGCGCAUUCUUUAAUCCGGGCCACAUUAAUGGUUUAAAAUGCAAAAGCAAUUCGAAUGUUAUGAAUGUGUGAUAGAACAUAUCAAAGAGUUGAAAUCUCAAUUGACAACCUAUCAUUUGUAAGUCUUCAUCCAGAGAAUACAAAGCCCCUUCAGAUUUCAUACAAAAUUGUCGCCUUCAAUUCUUCUUCCAAAACCCCUUGUGUGUAAAAUGUCUAAACUUGGGAGAGGGAAACGUGGGCCUGCGACUUUCUCAAAGAAAGACUGUGACUAUACAAUUGAGUUUAAUCAUGAUAAUCAACCGAUUGGCAAGAAUGCGACUGAUUAUACUUCAUGGUUAGGAGUGAAGCUAAAAGCCGAAUUUUCUUACCAUAUUCUGCAAGAUAAAUUUGAAGAACAAAAAUAGGAACAUUUAUGGAAGGAUAUUUAGGAACUAUGGAAAGUUAAUAGCAUUGCGCCCAAAGAAGCGACACUUAAAAAUGCAAAAAAGCGUCAUACAAAUUGGCGAAGUUAUCUUACAACAAGCUAUGUAAGGAAGAAUAAAACUCCUUUCAAGACAUAUAAGAAUCUCGAAUCACAACAUUCGGAAAACUUCGUUGCCCAAAGGAGUAGCAAGGAUUUUAUGAAAAAAAGUGAAAACACGACAAAAAGUGCCAAGAAGAAUGUAUUCCAUACUUGCUUAGGACGUUCCGAGUAUGCGGCUUUGGAGCCUCUUGUUCCGCUCAUAUGGUCUCAACUUGUGCCGGUGUAUAAACACCUCAAAACUAUUCAAGACUGCCGCUCUAAAAGGUGGAUUUCAGCUAGAGCAAAACAAGAAAGCUAAGAAGUAUGAACUUGCAAAAGAUGCGCGAGUAGAGUCUAAUAAACUAUCCGAAUACGAAAUAGAAAUGAAGGCAGAUGACAGUUAUUUUUCUGGGGUGGAGGAUCCACUAAGUAGGCUACUUGGAUCGGAACAUGGAGGGCGAUUACGUAUUGUUUCUAAUAUUAUAGGACGCACAAAGGCUAAGGGAGGAUUAUUUCAGGGUGCUAGACAACAAAGUCAAACAGACGUGUCUACCACUCAAAGGUUAGGGGUGGUUUGUGAUUAUAGUGGGGUGGGCUCGAGCCCUAGUAUCUGUGACGCGAGUGAUGUUGGUGGAUCCCAUAUUCAUUAUCCACCUAUAUAGGAGCAUGUUGAAUGUGAAUUGUUAUUCCCACUGCAGAACAAAAAAUACAAAAUGCCUUGUCAAAGAUAGAAAAUGAGCGGCCUGAAAUCAUUAGAUCAUUGGCUGCACGAUUAAAAGAUACCUAUAAUGGCAAGAUGAGCCUUGAGUUUAACGUGCUUGAGGAGAUGUACCCCAAAACCCCGUUCGACAUCCAAGUUGAAUCCAUUGAAUAUGAGGGGAUGCUACAAGUUUUGGCUAACGGCUGGCUUGAGGCUAGCUUUUUUACAUUGGUGUCAAGUAUAUUUAUAUGACCUAGUAUCUAAAAAGAUAGCUCCCCAAGAACCUAAAGUUAGCUACUUCAAUAUCCACAAAAUAACCGGGAAAGAGUGCGAGACAAAUUUUGCAAGUGUAAAAGAACACUUGCUAAGUGUCUACAAACUGCAUAAGGGCACAAAAUUUUUUCUUGCACCAUUUUUUUCAGUGCCUAUUAGGUUUUGUUUAUCGUUUCUCUUAAGGAACGAAGUGUUUGGAUUUUGGAUUCAACUUCGGUUAAGGCUAAAAAGAAUAAAGAUGAUUAUCCUCUUUCAAAAGCAAUAGAAUCUUGUUUUGGAAGAGGACUUACUUGGGCCAUGGUUCAAUGUAUGCAACAAGACGGGUCUUGGGAGUGUGGAUACAUGGUCAUUUGGUAUAUGUUCAAGUUUGUUUUAUGGAAGCGAUUUCGUUUUCCAAACAAUUUGGACCGAGGCAACAACUGCCAUACAAGAGGAAAUCGACAAGUUGGUUGUAAACAUCAUGACACGGUUUUUUAAUAAUGUAUUGAACAUUGAUAGCACCUAGGUUAGGUUGGUAUGGUUAUUUGAACAAGUUUUGUAAACUUUGCAAGUUAUUAUAUAAUCAAAAGGUGUUUUGAAUUUGGUUUUAUGAA